GAAAGAGCACUUUGGAUGCUGCUCAGGAUAUGCUGAUAAAGUUUUCCACUGUUAAGAAAAGCGCAUCAGAGGAGUCUGGUGGAUUUUGGAGAAGAGCAGCCUCCUGCCUCCCGGAAGUCUGACGGAGCCCAGUUCCCGGACUGUGCGGCCGCGGGCCCGGGGGAGCGCCCCCCGCGUCCCGAGGGCCACGGUCCCCGCUCCCCGAUGUCCCCGGCGCCGCCGCCG
rnacentral:lncRNA from 1 species